GCGUGAGCCCCCUAUCAAUUAGUGGCUUAGAGCAGCACUCCUAGAAGCCUGUAAACAUCAAUCAUUACUUCAUCAUCAUGAAUUUCAGUGAUCAAAUCAGCUUAUGAUUUCUGAACUAGAGCUCAUAGAGGCUGAUUUUGGUUACAGAUGUUGAUCAUAGCUAUUGAAUUUAGUGCCGAAGUACAAGCAGGAAAAAAUACAAAGUUGUUACAAGGCUAAAAGCUUGUCAAGCCUCCUGCAAAUAAAACAUUAUUCUGGAUAAAUGUAGCAUGUAUGUGGUAACAACAUACCAUGUCUGUGAAGGAGAACCAUCAGCUUUGAGGAAUGAGACCCAAUAUCUACCAAUACUGUGGCCAUUGAUCCAAGCUUCACCUUUCCCCAUGGAUCCAAGAUUGAUUGCUAGGGGAUCAUCACCCUCAGGAGCAUCAAAAUAUGUCUGUUGUUUGCAAUCAGGUUUCACUACUGGAGAAGGUUUCAAUGAAGAACUUGCGGAGAUUCAAACUUGGGGAGAUUCAUCUCUCAAAGAUACUACAUAGGAAACGAUUAGAGGGAAAGAAAUGAGAUGCUACUAUGGAAAGAUUCUGGACCAUUUUGUAUGUGGCCUAUGCAUUCAUUUCAGAUGAUAAUGUCAAAGGGUUCGGUAGAUUUUGUGGAGUAUGUGACAUCAAGAUGCUGGUUAUUGUUGAAGUCAAGAAAAAGCUAACAGGAAAUAAGAUACAUAUGCAAAAUUUUACCGGUAAUCCAACGGUCAAACUGAGCAAGGAGAUAUUAUUCCUCCCGUGAUGUAGAUUUAUAGUUCUUUCCAACGUAAAAGCUGGAUUUUUAUGAUCUCCAUGUGCAGAACCUGAAGAAAAGUAAAAGGUGAGCAGUCGAAUGGGAACAGUGUCAUUUUUGCAAGUUUCAAUUUUCCUUGGAGCUAAGUUGUGAUUCAUUGUCCAGAGUGCAUGUGGUAUUCAACUUUGAAAGACGGUUUAAAAGCAGUAAGAUAGUGAUUUUAGCCCACAUCCUUGCCUAAUUCUGACUCUUUUAAGCUUUACAGUUAUGUGUUAUUGCACCAAGAAUUGAUCUGCCAGCUACAUGAUUUUCUUGUUGCAGACUGAUUCCCAGUUCUGAGUGAAAACCUGCUAUUCAUGAUGCAUAUAUAUGAUGAGUCUUACCUGCAUGUUCUCCAUUAACAAAUGCAUGUAAAGCAUGUCCCCGGGAGUCGACAGUGAGAAGCGACUGAGCUUUUGAUGAAUUAACACUGUCAUUGCAAAUGUUAAAGCUGUUAGUACACGAUAAGAAUGAAUUUAGCACAAUAGAUGUUGGCAACUUACUCUCAUGAUAGGUUCCUGGUUAGAUAUUGAAGCUGCGUGAGAGGUGGAUUUCAUUUUGAAUGAUUUAAUCUAGAACCCCUAGUUAUCAUCUCCAAUGUCACUUGGACUCAGGUAUGGGUGUCAGAUACUGGUAUCUUUCUAUGUGUCAGAUUCGUAAACUUUCUAAAACCUCUGAAGACUUGGACAAGCGUUCAAGGUACCUCCAGUAUCCUCAUUUGUGAUUAACAUAUUUACACAGUAUAAACCAAAUUAAAUCAUUUGUGUCCCUUGUCUAAGAGGAAAAUACAUAAUUAUAUAUGCAUGUAUGUGUGUGUUAAUGUGAACUCCACCAGGAUAUCUAGCAGGUGCACUCAUAGUGAACUCCACCAAGAUAUAAGCUUUUACCGUUUUCGUCCUCAUCUAUUUUUCUUCUUGUGUUUAUUAACUUCGAGUUGUCCAAAACUUCAAAUGAAUCGUCCUCAUCUAAGUGAAAUUACUGAAUCAAGAAUUCCUAAAACUACUUUAAACGAUCCAAUAGGAGUGAUGAAAUCAUAGGUUUUCAUUCCAUGUUAGUGAAAGUUUUCUGAGUGCCUAAUACCUAUUAAACAGCUGAUAUGGCUCUGCAUCUAUAGAGUAUGAUCAGACAUAUAUUUCAGAACCAUGUGCAGAUCAGGACUGUGAUUCAGGAGACCAUAUGACAAGGUUGGAAAAUGGAGCCAAGAACUAAAUUUACAGCAUCUAGCAUGCAGCAACCUCUAUAAGGACAUUAUAACCACCCAGAAAGUAACUAAAAGAAAACAAAAUUGAAAUAAAUAUCCAUAUUAAUCAGUAAUACUGCACAGGAGAUUUGGUUUUCUAUAAACUGAUAUGCUUUUUAUUUACCUGGUAAUGUACCAGAGAUAAUCAGAUUUAUCUUUCGUAGUUUUCAUGUGCUCCAACAAUGAAUUGGAACUUAUUGAAGUUUCUCCAAAUACAGGAAUAGCUUCUCGAAAUUCACUCCAUCUGUCAACUGAGUUGAACUUCACGGUUGGUAGAGUUGAUCUCUUAAUAAAGACAACAAAGCUUCAACUCUUGCCUUAGCUGUAUUGAAUGCUUCAGUUGCGCAGUCAGGUAGAAUGCUUAUUGAUGUUGCAGGUAAUUUAUAGUGUAUGUUCUGGAACAGCACCACAACUUCAGUUCUUCUAUCAUAGUUUACAAGGAAAGCUGCACAUUCUCCUGAAUCCCUGCGGAAUACAUAGGCCUAUCUCGAGAUAAGCUGGUGAGUAUUGAGAUACGUUGUACAUGUGAUAAAUGUCUCAUAAUUUGUUUUGUAGCUUUUCUUCCCCUCACAAGAGGGUCAAGCAAUUACUGGUAGAGUUAAAGAGUAUAUGAUUCAGAAGAAACUUAAUAUAAAAAAUGAAAAAACGAAAUCUAUCCGAAAGAAUGAAGAUGCUAAUCUUACUUCUUGCUGCUGACCAAGUGGAGAAACAGAUAUGACUCCAUGAAGUAGAGUCUGUGAGCAUGACUUUAUUACUGAAUGUAACUGCUUCAGAUGACCCCAUUUUGGUUGCCUAAUCAAACCUGUUAAUAUCCAUGAACUUCUUCAUUGAUUAAAACUUAAUAAUGAACUAUAUAUGAUAGUAUACUAUAUGUGAUAUUAUACAGCCUCACUUACCGUAUUCAUCAAUAGGAGCUUCAUCAUAAUAGCUUGUGAGUACAAAUGCUGAACCUGUCCUGCCAAAAUUUGUACCGCCAUGAUACUGAAACACAAUCAACAUUAGCUUAAGGACCUUGUAUUCUAUGAUCCAUAAUGGAGACAGUUUGGAAGAUGGCAUCCAGACAUGGAGUCAAAUCUUACUAUAUAUUAGCAAUAUAUGUAGGAAAAACUGGCUCAGUAAAGGCACGUAAAGUAUCCCUCAUAGAUAAAAUGAAUGUAUUUUCAUCACAAAUGGGGGAAGACUCUUUUCCUCUUCAUCUAACUCUUUCUUUGUGGUUGUUUCUGUUACUUACCAUGUAGUAGUUUACAAAGCUUCCGUUCUUCCUUGCUAUGAAUAAAGCAACGUUAUAUGCAAGGUCCUCUGCUGAUCUUAAUGGGGUCUUGUCACCAUAGACUUGAUAGCUUCAAGCAACAAUGGAGGAAAUUCUCAGAGAUCAUACCUAUAUGAAUCUGUACAAGGAACAAUGUUAGCGAAAACUUACAAACUUGUCCAAUUCUCUGUCCAGAUUGCUGGCUUGUUUGGUGAAUUAGGCCCUACAAAUGUUUCUCCACACGUCCUCCCAUUACAUGUGUUUAUCUGCACAUUGCUCAAGUUUCAAUUUUCCAUUGUCUCAUCUGCGUUAGAGACAUUACUGCAACAGCAGCCCUAUUGCCUCAUAUUAUUCCACUCAAAAGACCAAAAAAUAGCAAUAAUUGUAGAAAAUAAAAGGUAGGAGUUCUGAUGCAUAUAUAUUUGUGCUACAUUUGAUUUGCUUGAGAAUUUUGUGAGGGUAUCAGGCAACUUUUCCUUUGAUGUUUAUUUAACGAACUUGAGUUCAUGUUUCAUUGUCCAAAAAGAGAGGUAGAAAUGGUUACCACAGGAUCAGGAGCAUCAUCUUGCUUGCACAUCACCCAUGGCACACCCGUUUGGAGUCCGACAGCCAUGGCAGCUGCCCACUGAACAUAAGGCGGUCCUUUCUCGUGAAAAGCUCUCUCCGCAUUUUUGUACUCAUUCUCGAUCUGCAUAGCACAAUCUUUAACUUCACUAUUGAACAUGUUAUUGCUGAAGCAUAUAACAGCACUGCACAUGAUGUGAUAAAUAUUUAACCUGUUGAAGAAUGAUAGGCCCUCCUUGUGGAGCAUAUAAUCCUUCUGAUUUGAACAAGUUGACAAUUUUUGUUGUGAAGUUUUGCAUAUGAUACUGUCACAAACCAAAGAAGGAAUGUCAGAUUACCAACCAUUCUCAUUUUUUCAUC